rnacentral:rRNA from 2 species
CGCGGUGAAUACGUUCCCGGGCCUUGUACACACCGCCCGUCACACCAUGGGAGUUGGUUUUACCCGAAGCCGGUGUGCUAACCGCAAGGAGGCAGCCGACCACGGUAAGGUCAGCGACUGGGGUGAAGUCGUAACAAGGUAGCCCUAGGGGAACCUGGGGCUGGAUCACCUCCUUUCUAAGG